rnacentral:rRNA from 4 species
GGGUUGUGAGGUUAAGCGACUAAGCGUACACGGUGGAUGCCCUGGCAGUCAGAGGCGAUGAAGGACGUGCUAAUCUGCGAAAAGCGUCGGUAAGGUGAUAUGAACCGUUACAGCCGGCGAUGUCCGAAUGGGGAAACCCAGUGCAAUUCGUUGCACUAUCGUUAACUGAAUACAUAGGUUAACGAGGCGAACCGGGGGAACUGAAACAUCUAAGUACCCCGAGGAAAAGAAAUCAACCGAGAUUCCCCCAGUAGCGGCGAGCGAACGGGGAGCAGCCCAGAGUCUGAAUCAGCUUGUGUGUUAGUGGAACGGUCUGGAAAGUCCGACGGUACAGGGUGAUAGUCCCGUACACCAAAAUGCACAGGUUGUGAACUCGAAGAGUAGGGCGGGACACGUGGUAUCCUGUCUGAAUAUGGGGGGACCAUCCUCCAAGGCUAAAUACUCCUGACUGACCGAUAGUGAACCAGUACCGUGAGGGAAAGGCGAAAAGAACCCCGGCGAGGGGAGUGAAAAAGAACCUGAAACCGUGUACGUACAAGCAGUGGGAGCACCUUCGGGUGUGACUGCGUACCUUUUGUAUAAUGGGUCAGCGACUUAUAUUCUGUAGCAAGGUUAACCGUAUAGGGGAGCCGCAGGGAAACCGAGUCUUAACUGGGCGUUAAGUUGCAGGGUAUAGACCCGAAACCCGGUGAUCUAGCCAUGGGCAGGUUGAAGGUUGGGUAACACUAACUGGAGGACCGAACCGACUAAUGUUGAAAAAUUAGCGGAUGACUUGUGGCUGGGGGUGAAAGGCCAAUCAAACCGGGAGAUAGCUGGUUCUCCCCGAAAGCUAUUUAGGUAGCGCCUCGUGAACUCAUCUUCGGGGGUAGAGCACUGUUUCGGCUAGGGGGUCAUCCCGACUUACCAACCCGAUGCAAACUACGAAUACCGAAGAAUGUUAUCACGGGAGACACACGGCGGGUGCUAACGUCCGUCGUGAAGAGGGAAACAACCCAGACCGCCAGCUAAGGUCCCAAAGUCAUGGUUAAGUGGGAAACGAUGUGGGAAGGCACAGACAGCCAGGAUGUUGGCUUAGAAGCAGCCAUCAUUUAAAGAAAGCGUAAUAGCUCACUGGUCGAGUCGGCCUGCGCGGAAGAUGUAACGGGGCUAAACCAUGCACCGAAGCUGCGGCAGCGACACUAUGUGUUGUUGGGUAGGGGAGCGUUCUGUAAGCCUGCGAAGGUGUGCUGUGAGGCAUGCUGGAGGUAUCAGAAGUGCGAAUGCUGACAUAAGUAACGAUAAAGCGGGUGAAAAGCCCGCUCGCCGGAAGACCAAGGGUUCCUGUCCAACGUUAAUCGGGGCAGGGUGAGUCGACCCCUAAGGCGAGGCCGAAAGGCGUAGUCGAUGGGAAACAGGUUAAUAUUCCUGUACUUGGUGUUACUGCGAAGGGGGGACGGAGAAGGCUAUGUUAGCCGGGCGACGGUUGUCCCGGUUUAAGCAUGUAGGCUGAUUGUCCAGGCAAAUCCGGAUAAUCAAGGCUGAGGUGUGAUGACGAGGCACUACGGUGCUGAAGUAACAAAUGCCCUGCUUCCAGGAAAAGCCUCUAAGCAUCAGGUAACAUUAAAUCGUACCCCAAACCGACACAGGUGGUCAGGUAGAGAAUACCAAGGCGCUUGAGAGAACUCGGGUGAAGGAACUAGGCAAAAUGGUGCCGUAACUUCGGGAGAAGGCACGCUGGUGUGUAGGUGAAGUCCCUGCGGAUGGAGCUGAGACCAGUCGAAGAUACCAGCUGGCUGCAACUGUUUAUUAAAAACACAGCACUGUGCAAACACGAAAGUGGACGUAUACGGUGUGACGCCUGCCCGGUGCCGGAAGGUUAAUUGAUGGGGUUAUCCGUAAGGAGAAGCUCUUGAUCGAAGCCCCGGUAAACGGCGGCCGUAACUAUAACGGUCCUAAGGUAGCGAAAUUCCUUGUCGGGUAAGUUCCGACCUGCACGAAUGGCGUAAUGAUGGCCAGGCUGUCUCCACCCGAGACUCAGUGAAAUUGAACUCGCUGUGAAGAUGCAGUGUACCCGCGGCAAGACGGAAAGACCCCGUGAACCUUUACUAUAGCUUGACACUGAACAUUGAGCCUUGAUGUGUAGGAUAGGUGGGAGGCUUUGAAGCGUGGACGCCAGUCUGCGUGGAGCCAACCUUGAAAUACCACCCUUUAAUGUUUGAUGUUCUAACGUUGGCCCCUGACCGGGGUUGCGGACAGUGUCUGGUGGGUAGUUUGACUGGGGCGGUCUCCUCCCAAAGCGUAACGGAGGAGCACGAAGGUUAGCUAAUCCUGGUCGGACAUCAGGAGGUUAGUGCAAUGGCAUAAGCUAGCUUGACUGCGAGCGUGACGGCGCGAGCAGGUGCGAAAGCAGGUCAUAGUGAUCCGGUGGUUCUGAAUGGAAGGGCCAUCGCUCAACGGAUAAAAGGUACUCCGGGGAUAACAGGCUGAUACCGCCCAAGAGUUCAUAUCGACGGCGGUGUUUGGCACCUCGAUGUCGGCUCAUCACAUCCUGGGGCUGAAGUAGGUCCCAAGGGUAUGGCUGUUCGCCAUUUAAAGUGGUACGCGAGCUGGGUUUAGAACGUCGUGAGACAGUUCGGUCCCUAUCUGCCGUGGGCGCUGGAGAAUUGAGGGGGGCUGCUCCUAGUACGAGAGGACCGGAGUGGACGCAUCACUGGUGUUCGGGUUGUCAUGCCAAUGGCACUGCCCGGUAGCUAAAUGCGGAAGAGAUAAGUGCUGAAAGCAUCUAAGCACGAAACUUGCCCCGAGAUGAGUUCUCCCUGAGACUUUAAGUCUCCUGAAGGAACGUUGAAGACGACGACGUUGAUAGGCCGGGUGUGUAAGCGCAGCGAUGCGUUGAGCUAACCGGUACUAAUGAACCGUGAGGCUUAACCUUACAACGCCGAAG